GGAGGAUUACUCAAGAGGCUGAAGAGGACGGUUUGCUAAAUCGUUAGGGCUCGUUAGGGCGGGUUACCGUCGCUAGGGUUCGAAUCCCUAAUCCUCCGCCA
rnacentral:tRNA from 1 species